CACCCAUGGCACCCAUCGCAAUGGCACCCGGGGCACCCAUGGCUUUGGAAUGGCACCCAUGGCAUUGCAAUGGCAAACAAUGGCACCCAAUGGCACCCAAUGGUAUUGCAAUGGGACCCGGGGCACCCAUGGCUUUGGAAUGGCAACCAAUGGCACCCAAUGGCACCCAAUGGUAUUGCAAUGGCACCCAAUGGUAUUGGAAUGGCACCCAAUGGCACCCAAUGGCACCCACGGUAUUGGAAUGGCACCCAAUGGCACCCAAUGGUAUUGGAAUGGCACCCAAUGGCACCCAAUGGUAUUGGAAUGGCAACCAAUGGCACCCAAUGGUAUUAGAAUGGCACCCAAUGGAAACUCAAUGGCACCCAUGGCCUUGUCCGAGUCGAACAGCGCCCUGCCGGCACCCAGCGCACCCAGCGCACCCAUAGCACCCAUCGCAAUGGCACCCGGGGCACCCAUGGCUUUGGAAUGGCACCCAAUGCUAUUGGAAUGGCAACCAAUGGCACCCAAUGGUAUUGCAAUGGCACCCAAUGGCACCCAUGGCAUUGCAAUGGCACCCAAUGGCACCCAUGGCAUUGCAAUGGCACCCAAUGGCACCCAAUGGUAUUGGAAUGGCACCCAUGGCACCCAAUGGUAUUGGAAUGGCACCCAAUAGCACCCAAUGGUAUUGGAAUGGCACCCAAUAGCACCCAAUGGUAUUGGAAUGGCACCCAAAGGCACCCAUGGUAUUGGAAUAGCACCCAUGGCAUUGUAAUGGCACCCAAUGGCACCCAAUGGAAACUUAAUGGCACCCAAAGGCACCCAUGGUAUUGCAAUGGCACCCAAAGGCACCCAAUGGAAACUUAAUGGCAUUGUAAUGGCACCCAAUGGC
rnacentral:lncRNA from 1 species